AACCUUAUGGACCUGCGGGCGUAUACCUGCGGAAGGAUCAUUACCGAGUUUACAACUCCCAAACCCCUGUGAACAUACCUAUACGUUGCCUCGGCGGAUCAGCCCGCGCCCCGUAAAACGGGACGGCCCGCCCGAGGACCCUAAACUCUGUUUUUAGUGGAACUUCUGAGUAAAACAAACAAAUAAAUCAAAACUUUUAACAAUGGAUCU
rnacentral:misc_RNA from 1 species